AACUUUACAAAUGAGGUACAUGGGUAAAGUAUUUUAUUGAGUUUUUAUAUCAUUUACUGUUCCGAAUUACAUACAAAAGAGUAUUCAUUCUAUUGGCUAUGGAGUAUAUUUUAAUUGUCGAAUAUGACUCUACCAGUGAAACUACUUGUAAUGUUAAGGCAUUACCUGCAACGAUUCAAAAUAAUUUAGAAAACUAUUUCAAAGCUCAUAAUGUAAAGUGUAAUAAUCAAAAAAACUAUUUUGAAGUCGACGUAGAAGGAAUAAGGGUUUUAAAUGUGUUAUGUGAAUCUGGUUACAAUUACAGAGUUGUCAGCCAAUCCAUGGCAAUCGACACAACAAAUAUUGGUGGGAGAUCCGUGAAAAUUCAAAAAACUGUUUGGACACUCGCAAAAG